UGCGUCGGCCGGGAGUCGAACCCUGGCAACUGCUUGGAAGGCAGCUAACCGUUAUACCACCGACGC